AUUGAACGCUGGCGGCAGGCCUAACACAUGCAAGUCGAGCGGAGCGGCGGACGGGUGAGUAAUGCCUAGGAAUCUGCCUGGUAGUGGGGGAUAACGUCCGGAAACGGGCGCUAAUACCGCAUACUAUCAGAUGAACCCAUAUGGGAUUAGCUUGUAGGUGAGGUAACGGCUCACCUAGGCGACGAUCCCUAGCUGGUCUGAGAGGAUGAUCAGCCACACUGGGACUGAGACACGGCCCAGACUCCUACGGGAGGCAGCAGUGGGGAAUAUUGCACAAUGGGCGCAAGCCUGAUGCAGCCAUGCCGCGUGUAUGAAGAAGGCCUUCGGGUUGUAAAGUACUUUCAGUCGGGAGGCGUUACCGACAGAAGAAGCACCGGCUAACUCCGUGCCAGCAGCCGCGGUAAUAC
rnacentral:rRNA from 1 species